rnacentral:lncRNA from 1 species
GCCUCAAAACACUACCUAGGCUCCAAAUUGACCAUUAGCCGUCACCCCCAAAUUUGUGGUCCAUAACCCACGAUUUUCAUCGAUUCAGUUGCAACGGGGUGGAAUGCCGCCUUUUUUACCGCCGUUUUGAUCGGAUUUUCGGUGAAAAGAUGUUAAGUAGGAACUCGCGUUUGUGGUCGCGGAUUGAAGAAUUAAUUCAUGCAGGAUGGCGGUUUCGUGUUAAUAAUCGUUGGUUUGUUCGUCAGUGUUAAUAAUCGCGGAUUUAAGAACUAAUUCAAGAGGACGUCAGCUUUGUUCGUCAGUGAAGAUCUAGGUCUCAUUGUCGGCUCCUAAAUGGCUACGAUCUAUCUUUCUCCCAAGAUCUAGGUAUGCACCGUUUUUGUAUUCGUCUCCUAAUCUGCUGGUACCUGCUUUUCUAACAGGCUCUGAUUUAUCUUCCAAACACAUGAACAGCGGCUUCGAUUUGCUAACUAAGUACAGCAGCUGCUUUGUGUGUUUCUAGAGGUUGUCAUCUGUUUUCAACAGUGGCGAACUAGUUCUUCGACUGAACUCGGCGAUAUUAAGUUAUAAGAUUUCUUCCUGUGAAUCUUAUUUCAAUGUCUUAUUUUUUAGUUUGAUUUGUUUUUCAUAUCAUGACUAGCUAACUCUCUAUUGUUUAUAUUAGAUGAACCCUAGACGAUCUCGAUGAACUAAUGAUAUAUUUCACUUUAUGCAAGUUUAGAAUAUCUCAC